rnacentral:sRNA from 17 species
AGUGCGUGUUGUCGGGGAAGCGAUAACUAAGCGGUAACGGCGGGGCAUGCAUGAAGUAUAUCUACCGUGGGAUAAGCAGCUGAGAUAGAUUAAGGGUGGCGAGGUUAGUGCCCGAGCUGUGAACGACUGACGAGU